rnacentral:sRNA from 1 species
UUCACCGGAGGGAUUGGAUAGUUAACGGUUAGUUUGUAUUUUAGGGUUUCGUCUUUGAGACUGUUUGUUUCUGUUUUUAUGUCCAGUUUGCUUCAAGGUUGCUUUUGGUUGUGUGACUUGUUGAAGGACGUUUCUGGACUGUUUUAGACGCAAGGAGAGUCUCUCCUGGUUAUAAUUGUUGUUAGAAUCAGCUUGUUAAGGUGAGUGCGUGACCAUGAGCUUAUCUGAGCGAUUGGUUUGUAUGACUUGUUUUGUGUGAUGAUAUGUAGGUGUUGUGAAUGU